rnacentral:lncRNA from 1 species
CCACUAAGCAGAACACAGGAUCUCAAGCACUGUUAGAGAUCCUUUGUUAAUGAAUAAGAUGAUAAUUCUGCUAUACAAAAAGCGUUUGAGGCUCCAUAUGUACCACAGUGUAGGUCAGUAUGUUUAAGUGGAUGGGCUCCUCAGUGCUGCUUUGUAGAGAGAAGAGUUCGUAAGUCAUGCCCUUCUUAAUGAAGCUUUCCAAAAGGAAAAAGUCAAGCAGUAGGAUAGAACAGAAAAAUAGAAGAAAAAAGCAUUCAAAACAACUUAAAUGGCAAGAAGGGAAUGGAAUUUAUAUGAGAAAAUGACAAAGUGAAAACAAAGUCUUUGUAAGUAGGGAGGGAUGGAGGGGUUGAAGGGAGGGCAGGGGAAGGGGGAAAAAAUCAGAACCAAGAGAGACUAUGUAAAGGUGCAAAUUUCCAAUGAUGAAUGUCAU